rnacentral:rRNA from 1 species
CGGCGGACGGGUGAGUAACACGUGGAUAACCUACCUAUAAGACUGGGAUAACUUCGGGAAACCGGAGCUAAUACCGGAUAAUAUAUUGAACCGCAUGGUUCAAUAGUGAAAGACGGUUUUGCUGUCACUUAUAGAUGGAUCCGCGCCGCAUUAGCUAGUUGGUAAGGUAACGGCUUACCAAGGCAACGAUGCGUAGCCGACCUGAGUGGGUGAUCGGCCACACUGGAACUGAGACACGGUCCAG